rnacentral:rRNA from 1 species
UACGGAGGGUGCAAGCGUUGUCCGGAUUUAUUGGGUUUAAAGGGUGCGUAGGCGGGCUAUUAAGUCAGUGGUGAAAUACUACGGCUCAACUGUAGAAUUGCCAUUGAAACUGAUAGUCUUGAAUACAUGUGAGGUGGUUGGAAUAAGUGGUGUAGCGGUGAAAUGCUUAGAUAUCACUUAGAACGCCGAUUGCGAAGGCAGAUCACUAAUAUGUUAUUGACGCUGAGGCACGAAAGCGUGGGGAGCGAACAGG